rnacentral:lncRNA from 1 species
ACCCUUUCUACAAUUUUCUUUCUCUUCUCCCACUCUUCUUUCACUGAACAAGUUUGUUGAAGCCAUCGCUGGUGAAUGGCUGCUACCGCCACUUUAUCAUCGCCAUCACUUCUCUCUCCUUAUCUACUCGAUCUCUUCUCCCUCACCACCGGCGAACCCAUCGUCGGCUUUCUCCCUCCGUUCUCCUAUUUCCAAUCGUGAUUCUAGCCAGUGGAACCACCAAGAACCGCCACCAACGUUAUUUCCCACUCACUCCAUCGGUGAUGCCACCAUCAACGAACCCAACCAGCCGCCACUGCAAGCAGCCUUGCGAUCGGUGAGCCAACUAAAAGAGCCCCGAUGUACUUUUCUUUCUCUCCACAUCGCCGACCACCUACCAGCUGGUGAUUCCUGAGAACCAACACCACCACUGACGAACUAGUAGGCACUGUCAGAUUUAAACUUCACUGGAAAACAUUUCAAUUUAUGAUAGAUUCAUAAGAAUCCAUCCCAGGCUAGUUUUCUUAGUAUAAUUUUAUUUUCUACCUUGUAUUUUAAUUUUAUCUUUCAUUGGACAUGUCUGUGAUUUGAAAUUAGCAAAACUUAUGAGAGACUUUUGGUCUAAUUCCUUGUGAUUUGGGUUUGUUCUAAAUUG